CCACAACCAGGAGGUAAUCACUGUGACCAGUUUCUGGAAGGAAACGUACAAGCAAAUCCACACAUAUUACACACGAUGCAUCAGUAUACGCUCGCAAUAAGGCAUCAUCAUGUCCAGUUUUCAGAUGAAGAAGGACGGCAGUGGCAGCGUGCUCCUGGGCCGCCCAUUCACUCACCCGGAUGUGCAGGUCCUGGAAGAAGAUGAGGAGUGUCUGCCGGAUCAGCUGGAACUCCCCCGCAGACAGUGCCCCGUAUAUCUGCCGGAUGCAAAGCAGAGAGAAGCGCUUCACUUCCAGAAGUGAGGGGAAUGAGAACAAGAAUGGGGCUGAGAGGUGAUGAACCGGCGCCCCGCUUACUUCAGUCAACUGCCGGAAAGUCUCCUCCACCUGAUGCAGGAUGGCUGGGGAGUCUUGGAUGAAACCCUUGAUGGCGUCUAAAUGA